rnacentral:rRNA from 1 species
AACGAACGCUGGCGGCAUGCCUAACACAUGCCAGUCGAACGAGACCUUCGGGUCUAGUGGCGCACGGGUGCGUAACGCGUGGGAACCUGCCCUUAGGUUCGGAAUAACUCCCCGAAAGGGGUGCUAAUACCGGAUAAUGUCUUCGGACCAAAGAUUUAUCGCCUUUGGAUGGGCCCGCGUUGGAUUAGCUAGUUGGUAGGGUAAAAGCCUACCAAGGCGACGAUACAUAGCUGGUCUGAGAGGAUGAUCAGCCACACUGGGACUGAGACACGGCCCAGACUCCUACGGGAGGCAGCAGUGGGGAAUAUUGGACAAUGGGCGAAAGCCUGAUCCAGCAAGGCCGCGUGAGUGAUGAAGGCCUUAGGGUUGUAAAGCUCUUUUACCCGGGAUGAUAAUGACAGUACCGGGAGAAUAAGCUCCGGCUAACUCCGUG